GUCUACGACCAUACCAGCCUGAAUGCUCCCGACCUUGUCUGAUCUCAGAAGCUAAAAAGGCUUACUAUAAUGUGCAUCAAAAAUACAUAAAUCCUAGUGU
rnacentral:rRNA from 1 species